rnacentral:rRNA from 1 species
GCAAGGGGAGCGGCAGACGGGAGAGUAACACGUGGGAACGUACCCUUUGGUUCGGAACAACCCAGGGAAACUUGGGCUAAUACCGAAUAAGCCCUUACGGGAAAAGAUUUAUCGCCGAAGGAUCGGCCCGCGUCUGAUUAGCUAGUUGGUGAGGUAACGGCUCACCAAGGCGACGAUCAGUAGCUGGUCUGAGAGGAUGAUCAGCCUCACUGGGACUGAGACACGGCCCAGACUCCUACGGGAGGCAGCAGUGGGGAAUAUUGGACAAUGGGCGCAAGCCUGAUCCAGCCAUGCCGCGUGGGUGAUGAAGGCCCUAGGG